CGGUAAUACGUAGGGUGCGAGCGUUAAUCGGAAUUAUUGGGCGUAAAGCGUACGUAGGCGGUUUUGUAAGACAGAUGUGAAAUGCCUGGGCUCAACCUUGGAAUUGCAUUUGUGACUGCAAAGCUAGAGUGUGUCAGAGGGAGAUAGAAUUCCACAUGUAGCAGUGAAAUGCGUAGAUAUGUGGAGGAAUACCGAUGGCGAAGGCAGUCUCCUGGGAUAACACUGACGCUCAUGUACGAAAGCGUGGGGAGCAAACAGGAUUAGAUACCCUGGUAGUCCACGCCGUAAACGAUGUCUACUAGUUGUUGGAUCUUAAUUGAUUUAGUAACGUAGCUAACGCGUGAAGUAGACCGCCUGGGGAGUACGGUCGCAAGAUUAAAACUCAAAGGAAUUGACGGGGACCCGCACAAGCGGUGGAUGAUGUGGAUUAAUUCGAUGCAACGCGAAAAACCUUACCUACCCUUGACAUGUUAGAAACUAUAAAGAGAUUUAUAGGUGCUUGCAAAAGAAUCUAA
rnacentral:rRNA from 1 species